rnacentral:rRNA from 1 species
CCUACGGGGUGCAGCAGUCGAGAAUCAUUCACAAUGGGGGAAACCCUGAUGGUGCGACGCCGCGUGAAUGAAGAAGGUCUUCGGAUCGUAAAGUUCUGUUCUUAGGGAAGAAGUCUUAGGUUGUGAAUAAUGACUUAAGGUGACGGUACCUAUGGAGAAAGCUCCGGCUAACUACGUGCCAGCAGCCGCGGUAAUACGUAGGGAGCGAGCGUUGUCCGGAAUUACUGGGCGUAAAGGGCGCGUAGGCGGGAACUUAAGUUAGAUGUGAAAACUCCGGGCUUAACCUGGAGACUGCAUUUAAAACUGGGUUUCUUGAGGGCAGGAGAGGAAAGUGGAAUUCCUAGUGUAGCGGUGAAAUGCGUAGAUAUUAGGAGGAACACCAGUGGCGAAGGCGACUUUCUGGACUGUACCUGACGCUGAGGCGCGAAAGCAUGGGGAGCGAACAGGAUUAGAUACCCGGGUAGUC